rnacentral:rRNA from 1 species
CCCCGGUAAACGGCGGCCGUAACUAUAACGGUCCUAAGGUAGCGAAAUUCCUUGUCGGGUAAGUUCCGACCUGCACGAAUGGCGUAAUGAUGGCCAGGCUGUCUCCACCCGAGACUCAGUGAAAUUGAACUCGCUGUGAAGAUGCAGUGUACCCGCGGCAAGACGGAAAGACCCCGUGAACCUUUACUAUAGCUUGACACUGAACAUUGAGCCUUGAUGUGUAGGAUAGGUGGGAGGCUUUGAAGUGUGGACGCCAGUCUGCAUGGAGCCGACCUUGAAAUACCACCCUUUAAUGUUUGAUGUUCUAACGUGGACCCGUAAUCCGGGUUGCGGACAGUGUCUGGUGGGUAGUUUGACUGGGGCGGUCUCCUCCUAAAGAGUAACGGAGGAGCACGAAGGUUGGCUAAUCCUGGUCGGACAUCAGGAGGUUAGUGCAAUGGCAUAAGCCAGCUUGACUGCGAGCGUGACGGCGCGAGCAGGUGCGAAAGCAGGUCAUAGUGAUCCGGUGGUUCUGAAUGGAAGGGCCAUCGCUCAACGGAUAAAAGGUACUCCGGGGAUAACAGGCUGAUACCGCCCAAGAGUUCAUAUCGACGGCGGUGUUUGGCACCUCGAUGUCGGCUCAUCACAUCCUGGGGCUGAAGUAGGUCCCAAGGGUAUGGCUGUUCGCCAUUUAAAGUGGUACGCGAGCUGGGUUUAGAACGUCGUGAGACAGUUCGGUCCCUAUCUGCCGUGGGCGCUGGAGAACUGAGGGGGGCUGCUCCUAGUACGAGAGGACCGGAGUGGACGCAUCACUGGUGUUCGGGUUGUCAUGCCAAUGGCACUGCCCGGUAGCUAAAUGCG